rnacentral:rRNA from 1 species
UACGUAGGUGGCAAGCGUUGUCCGGAUUUACUAGGCGUAAAGAGCGCGCAGGCGGUUGAUUAAGUCGAAUGUGAAAGCCCCCGGCUCAACUGGGGAGGGUCAUUCGAUACUGAUCGACUUGAAGGCAGGAGAGGGAAGUGGAAUUCCGGGUGUAGUGGUGAAAUGCGUAGAUAUCCGGAGGAACACCAGUGGCGAAGGCGACUUCCUGGCCUGUUCUUGACGCUGAGGCGCGAAAGCUGGGGGAGCAAACGGG